CAGCAGACCGAUCGCCGGCGAUUAACAUAAGACUUGAAAACCACUAGAUUAGGCGGACGGAGAUCAUUAUAGGUCCGUCUCCUGACAUCUAGUCACCUACCGCGGCAGCAGCACCGCUCGACGGCGGGACCGUCAAACGUUUGCGGGAUCGACCCGUGCGUCCUGCCCUGAGCCUGCCUCCUACCGUACUCGCCGUCGCCGUUGCGAGAUUCGUCAAGCCGUCUUGUGUGUGCAUCUAGUUACUUAUCUAGCCUAGCUAGUGUAUACCCUUUGCAAACCUAUGCGAGGAGUGCGUGCAGGAAUAGCUCGUACGCACGGUGCAGGAGGCGGUGUGGCGGGACGAAGGAAUAGGAAAAGAGGAAUCGGUGUGUAAAUAACAACGGUCUUGGUGGGGGAAGAGAGAAGAUGAGAAGGUCGACACCGCGGCGUCGCGCGAGCAAGCACGAGCGGGGCUGCGGGAGGGGACCAUCGAAGGUGUAAACAACACGAGCGUGCUUCGGGGUGGCAGGAGGGCGCGCAGCGGCAUCUCGAGGUUGGUCUUGGUUUUUUUCGACGUUAGCCGCGUAGCGGCAGCUACGACUCGCCUUCGCCGUCGGCUCGCACGCACGAUGGUGCCCCGCACCUUUUCGACGUAGGCCGACUGCCCCUUCGACGAUGGCCGUGAGCGUCUUCGACGCUACUGCUGCUGGGCGUUCUACCGCUGCACGACCUUGGCCCCUUCGCCCUACGACCUUGGUCGCUUCAAAAAACGACGGUGGCCACCAUUAAUAACGACCUUGGUUACCACAAAAAGACCGUAGCCGCACCAAAAACAACGUUGACCGAAACUAAAAACGACCUAAAAGACAAACAAAAACGACCUUGGUUGUUUACAACCCACACCCACGGGUCCGCUACUCAAACCGACCCUGGCCGCCACUCAAAAAAGAAGCUGGUCGUCGAAAAAAAACGACCUAGCUGUAAAAAUAAAACCACGUUGCGAGGGACCUUCUCGACGUAGGUUUGCCGCCGUCCCGCCUCGGGUGUUACCACCUGGACACCGGUCACCGUAGAACGUCGUUGUGGCCGCCACCACGCACUAGCGCCCUUGUCCUCCGUCGUCACAGCGACGUAGUGCCAGACCCGCUGUUCAACCCACGCGGCGCUCUACGUACUUUCGUCUUCCCCUUAAAAAAGUCACUCUACGCGCUCCACCUUCACAAUCAAUCCUUCUUACUCUAACGUGCUUAGCUAUUAGUAACUAACACACGUACCACGUGUAUAUAUCCAUAUUCCACCUGGCCGGAGAUGAACAGAGGGUUCUACAUGUUUAUAUGCUCCCCUCUCUCUCUAUGUUGCCAUAUUUAUGUCUGGGUUCAGAAUAUGUAUACGUCACAUGUUGCAUGCGAGUUGUCUUUCUUCGAACCUCCGCUUAGACUGCCAACUUAUAUCAACGUAGCAUGCCGACGCCCGGUUGGCCAACCGGGUUUGAACCCGGCCAGCUGGCCGCGGAUAGUUAGCGGUAGUGUAUAUGCGAAUCCACACACCCGAUAACGCGAAACCGGAAGAUACAAGCCACAUGACCCAAGUCACUUAUAUAAAAAUAUACCCGAUUACUAUGUCAAUCGUCGCCGGUGAUCGCAACAUAUGUCACGUGUAGCUCGACUUUUGCCAACUCCCCCCCGCUCGGGGACAGACUUUGUUUCAAGUACAACGUUAUCAGUGGCAACAAAGACUUUGUUAUGACAACAACGUUUCUGCCUAUCAUGCGACCUAGUCUGCCGAGCGAUCCACCGCCUGGAAAAGCCGUUUUUCUUCUCUUCUUUUUUUUUCUACGAUCGGGAAACACCCUCAUCAAUACACUAUAUGAGUGCGUGAAGUCUGGAGUAGUACAAUUACGCGUAGCGAGUACGGAAACAACUCCCCGGUUUCGAAAGACACAUAUAGGGGCUAAAUAAAGUAAACGGAUUUACGAAUAGUUGUUCCGAUGGAUCGAGUCUUACUUCUAAAAAAUGAAUUUAUAAUUGUCGUUACUUACAUAAACGUUUCGAAUCUACUCUCUAACCUCCUACGGUUUCACGUACGAUCGUUCGUCAGAAGAGGGUGACACUACGUUAGCAGCCUUUAAACAACACCACUACCGUACCGUGCACUAUGUCCUUCAGAACUCAGUAAACCUUCUACCUCUACGUCUGACGGCACUAACCAGACGAACAGUAGCUACACUCGGCAUUUACACCAGUGAGCUGCCAACACUAAACACUUCGACGGUACGACGUGUACAUUACCGUCGGAUGUAAGUAGGAAGGUACGUGUCAAUGAGUUAUCUCCUGUUUAACCUCCUGACCAGGUUAACUGUCCGUGAGAAAUGUAGCCACCCAACACACAGAUGUUGAUCGUGGCACUACCGGUUCACACGGUGAUGACCUCGGCGGUUCCUUCUAUUAUGUAGCAACAGACGUCAGGCUAACAUCUGACGUGACACCUCUUCGAUCGAGAUUUAAUAAACAACUUUAAUCAUACACACGAUUGGCACAAACAAACUACCGCAACCGUGAACCGUUACUCGGUUGGAAUCAUACAAAUGCCGUUUCGGUACGUUUUCACGUGACUUUGUUACUCUGGUUACACUACGGAAUGUCCGUUUUGUUCGUACCUUCGUACUGGAAACCACUUACAUAACGUAAGUCAAUUAAGUCCAUUUCACGUACGUAUAUGUAUGGAAUGGAUACGAUACCUGUGGAGACAGAUCCAUCCGAUCAAUAUAUAUACCAAACAACAUGACCUCGACGAUAUCUUCCAUAGUGUGCUCUCUUGAUUGUAUGAGCAUCAAUCGGUCGGGAACUGUUACUUAUACAGUGUUUUGUUCUCGAGCACAUAGUGCCGGGUUCCAAUUACUUACAAAUUUAAUUGAAGACGUACCCUCUAACCUCGCUUGGUUUGGUGUUAGUGUAGUCCGCUUCCUGUGUAUUCUUCUGCGAACAUGGUCAUGGUUUUAAAUCGGUAUGAAGGUGGCCACUUGACAUCCCUGAAUCGAUCAGAACUCAAGGCUUAGUAUCCUCACAACAUCACCUGCCGAGUUACUCACUCCUUCACGAAACAUGAAGACGUAGAGAUUUAAUAAGGCAAAUGCAAAUCAUCCACCAAACUUGUAGAGGCAACUUUUGGUUUACAGAGUUUUUAUAAUCGUAACGUGGAUCGUAGACCUUACCUGAAGUGUGACCCCGAGUCACAUCCGUAUUUACAACAUGAUCGAAGUAGUACACCGACGUUAAACAACCUGAUAAACCCUAACAAAAACUUUGUUUGACUAAUAUAGAAGACGACUUGAUACAUUACGAGUAAAUAAUUCUUAACACGCUAGAAAACUGUGCCUAUAGUAUAUCAAACAAGCCUAAACCGAACUCCCAAGAGCUUCCCUGUAUACAUUAGUUGCAAUAACGAAUAUAAAAAUCACCG
rnacentral:rRNA from 1 species